UCCAAACAGCAACGCUCCUGAGUUUGUGUCCCACGUCACCUUCAGUCCGCUCAGAGCAGAGGAAUCAUUUCCAUAGAGAGGAGGCUUUGCAUCGUCAGCUGAUCCUCCACUGAACUGAGAAGCUUUAUAGUCCUGUGACUCCAACUCUGCAGGACUCAGACCCGUCAGUCGACCACAACCACCAUGACUCUCAUCACCCUCCUCAUCUGGACGCUGGCCUGCUGCAGCUUCACAGGAUGCAGCGGCCAGAUGACUGUGACUCAGCCUCCAGUCCUGACAUUUAUUACAGGAUCCACUGUCACACUGACCUGUAACACCAACCCCAGUGUUCAUAAGUCUGGUUCUGUUUAUCUUUUGUCCUGGUACCAGCAGAAACCUGGACAGGCUCCCAAGCUUCUUAUAUACUAUGCAUCAACUCUAUAUUCAGGAACUCCCUCUCGAUUCAGUGGCAGUGGCUCUGGUUCUAGCUACACCUUAACCAUCAGAGGUGUUCAGGCUGAAGAUGUUGGAGAUUAUUACUGUCUCGGUUAUCAUAGCAGUGGAGUGUGGACUUUCGGUGGAGGAACCAAACUCAACAUAAACUUGGGUGUGGUGCGGCCCACCCUGACCCUCCUCCCCCCCUCCAGUGAAGAGCUGAAGCAGGGCACUGCCACUCUGGUGUGUAUGGCCAGCGGAGGCUUCCCCUCAGCCUGGAUUCUGGGCUGGAAGGUGGGGGGCAGCAGCAGCUCCUCAGGGGUGUCUCACAGCCUGGGGGUCCUGGGGGAAACCGGCCACUACAGCUGGAGCAGCACCUUGAGCCUCCCUGCAGACCAGUGGAGGAAGGCGGGCUCAGUGAGCUGUGAGGCCAGUCUGGACGGACAGAGCCCUGUCACUAAAACCCUGGACCCUGACCUCUGCUCGGAGUAGAGAGACGACCGGAUGGAGUCAUUGUGCUCUACUGUGGGUCCGUUUGAUUUACAUGUGUUCUACUGCAGCCUUGCAUGUCUUCAUGUCUUUUCUUCAACUCAUUAUGACAGUCCAAUGCUGUAUUGUGCUACUUUUGAAACAAGAAUAAAUAUUUCAUGUUCUCAUGUCAUUUGUUUUUCACAUUUCUAUUUUUAUUUUACUAAAAUAAAAAUAUAUCAUCACCAA